CUGGGUUUGAAUAUCAAAAUAAAGAAUUACAAAAUGUUGAGAACGUUCUCCACGUGCUGAGAAAUCCAAAAAUGAACUAACUCUAAAAGAGAAUAUGAGAAAACACAUAAAGAGUGAAUGCUAGAAAGUAACAUCAGUAGAUGCCAUACGAUAGCUUUACAAUAAGGAACAAGCAUAUAAAGACCACUCCAAACCAAGAGCCAGCAUCGCUUAAAACUAUUCAGCACCGUCAGGCCAUAGUUUGAGACUGCUUCUUUCUUGAGCUCCAACACCAGCAUAGAAACCUGAGAAGACUUGCGUUUACGGUCAUAACCGAAGUUGAAAUCAUCUCUAUAGUGAGAAACAACACUAAGAACCAUUUGCUUCCAUUUCGAUAAUAGUAUGAAGCGAUCGAAGUCCACCUUACGACUUCCCAUGAUAAGUAAACAUAAACCAAAUUUCCAAACAAUUGGACUAGAGCCGGAGAAACUCAACCAAAACUUACGAUUCGCAACAAUCAACAUCAUGACUGAACCGUUGCCACCAAGAUUAAGAUAAAGCAAUCCAAAUCAACCAAAGAGACAAAUCGAUGUAAACAAGAAGCUGGAUUUGUAAUCUCGACCUAGUCAUCAAUCCAAGCCAUGUCUGAAUCACAAUUGGCUCUUCGAACAUCUGAGCCUCACAAAAGGUGAAACUUUUAUGAGUGGAGACGCAAACCUUCAGCACCUCCUCACCCAGCCAUCCAAACCGCCACAUCUUAGUAGCCAUCAGCCAAAAACAAACACACCACUCCCAGCAGCUACAUCGUACCAUCCGCGACCUGUACAUCUUGCGCCAGACGCAACACACAGUUCAACUCUGAGACAAAGCUCGAAACUUGAACAUGACAAUCCAUCAAAACCUAAAAUCAGAGCACAAGAACUAAAAGACACAUGAACCCACCCUCUCACGACGCCGGCAAUGAGAACCGGACACCGGAGAGGGCAGAUCUGAAAGCUUCAGAGAAAGUCUCCCUUGGCGGCUAGGUUAAACGAAAAUUUUGAUCCAAGCUCUAAUUGAAUAAUACUCUAUUGCCACCUUCUUAAAACAUCGAAUAAUUGGUCACCGGAUGGAAACGAACAUUCUCUUCUGGAUCUCAUAGGAGAUUGUAUAUAUAUAUUGCUUCUUCUUGAAUUGGACUUCCUGAGGAAAUGCAAAAAAUAACAUCGUGAAAAUUGGAUCUUUUUAAGGAUUUGGGUUUAACUAAGCACAAAAAAUACUUUGGAACCAAAAACCCGAUUAAGAUCUGUUCAAUGAAUCAAUUACAUGAAUUAUGAAUCCUAAGAAAACCCAAUAUUAUAUUGGAUUUAACUGGUUUUUAGAAAUGUUACUAACCCGAACCGAAUCCGAACCAAAUUUUAUAUAUACCCGAAUAGGACUGAAAUUCGUAAACCUGAAAACCCAUUUAAACGGGUACCAAAACCCGAUUAAUUGAACCCAAACCAAAACACGAUUGGUUUCCCGAAUACCCACCUUAGGUUCUAGUGUGCUGAGAUGGCUCAUAUAAAGACAACAUCUUUCUACUAUAUAUAUUUGGAUAUUUUAUCUAUAUUAUUAAAAUAGAUGUACAAAACAAAACUUCUCCAUUUUAAGUGUUUUACUAAAAAUUUUCCAUUCCUUUUUGAACCAAUUCUAACAAUUUCAUUUACUGUAUUUACCAUAAUAAUUUUACAUAUUUAUGAACUCUCUUUUCGUAUGUUUUAUUAAACCUCUUUACAUCAUAAUACAAUUACUUUUCCGUAAAUUAUGUGUCUCAUUUUCAAUAUUUUUUUUUAAAUUUUAAUAUUUGUUAUAUAUAAAGACAUAUAAAUGUUAAAUUAAUAAUACAAUUUGUGAAAAUAUAUAUAACUAUAAUAAGGCUUUUUGGGUUAUUCUCUCGAAUCAACUAAAUUAAUUGGUUAACCUACUUUAUUUUCAGAAAUAUAAAGUUUUAUUCAUUUAAAGUGUAAAAUAUAAAUAGUCAAUUUAUAUAAUAUAUAAAUAAAAUAUAAAUUAAUCUGUUAAUAUAUAAUUUUACGUACAUUUUCAUAUAAACCCAAUACGAUAAAUAUAUGAUAAGAAAUGUAAGUAAUACAAUUGAUGGGUCAAAAAAAAAACUCAAUAUAUAUUAUAAACUUAAUGUGUUUAGAAAUAUCAUAUUUAAAAUUAUUUAAUAAGGAUAAACGUUAAAAAUAUAUUCCGUCAUUUAUACAAACCAAAUAUUUAUUUAUAAAGUUUUAAAAAAAUAAUCGCACAGAUAUGAGAAUCAUGCUCUAGUUAAUUUUUAAAUAAUUAGAAUACUAGAAGCUUGACAAACAAUAAAUUCUUCCAUCUCUCAUCUUUUGCCCUUAACUUUUAUUACGUUUCUUUAUUUUAGUUCAUGAGCUCAUAAAAAUCCAGCCAAUGGACAUGCCGCCGUCAGAGUAUUCUCCUCCAUUCAUCUUAUUUUUACCAGACUCUUUAACUUCAUCACUUUUUCGGUUUUAGAGAUCUAAAAUUAUUAUGAAUAUUUAGAAAGUUUGAUUUGAUUUUGGUUUGUUUUUUUCUAUUUUGGUAUGGUUGGGUUCUUCGGUUUCAGAUAAAUUUAAUAAUUUUAACAUUAAUAGAAUAAUCAAAAUAAAUUUGAUUUGGUCCCUUAAACUUCUUAAAUGAUUGAGAUUCUUUAGCUAUUUCAUAGGAUAAUUUUUACAUAUUUGGUAGAGCAUGAAUCUUUUUAUCUGCUUUUUAUUUAUGAUUAUAUUAAAAUAUAUGUAGGGAAGAAUCCUAAGUUUUCUAAUUUAUCUUUGUUGUAUCUAUUAUUUUUGUAAACUAUCUUCAUGAUUAUUUAUUAUUUUAUUCAAUAUUGUUCAGCGAGACCCGGAUAGUGUCUUCAAGCAAGUCCUCAUGAGUAUAUUCCAGCAUUUGUAUCGGAAAUUACUUUUAGAAGUCAGACACUCUAGAUAAAUUUGACGUUUCAAAAACUUAGUUUUUGUUUACAAAUUUAGUAAAAUUAGAAAAUGGUAUUUGUAACGUAUUAUUUAAUUUAAUUUUUAUACUUGAACUAAAAGCUUACAGCAUGAUACGGAUUAAAGUCUAGUAAUACAUAAUUGGUAUUAUAAGCAAAAGUAUGUAUUAAUAAAUAAAUUAUCCUAGUAAAUAAUCUUUUAUUUUCACUUUUUAAAAUAUCUUAAAAAUAAAAUACUCAAAAAACUUCAAUGAUAAAAACUUUUGUGCCAGAAUAAAAGAGAGACGAGAUAGAAUAAAAGAGAGACGAGAAAAGUAUUGCCGGCCGGCGGAGUGGGCUUCCACAGCCACCGUCGGUCCGGUUUGUUUUCUGUUUAAGCCUUCCUCUUCUCUCGUUUUAGUUUUGUUUGUAAUUUUCGGUGGUUCUCUGGUUUCGGAAGGUGGAGGCUUUGACAGCUCCGUCGCCGCCGGCUUUGUUUCCGAGAGGUAGAGGCUUCCACAGCUCUGCCAUCGUCGGCUUUUGUUUCCGGGAGGCGGUGGCUUUGUCAGUACCGCUGUUGUCGGCUUGUGUUCCCGGGGGGUGGUAGCUCCUUUAGUAUCGCCUUCUCCGGUUUUGUUUCUUUGGCUCCCGGUUUUUAUUCCUUUUCUUCUCGAUCUAUGAGUCUGCACUUCAAAGCUUCUCUGCCUCUUGAUCUAUCAUCUGAAACCGCUGCAUGGAUGUCGGAGACGAGAUCUCGAUGUGUUAGAUCGAUGGAUGCUCUCCGAUGAAGGUUCUCGAGCGGUGAAGGUCGCACAGUCUCGAUCUGGUGGUGUGCGACGCCGUUGACGUCGGUUAGCUUGGGGAGACUAGGGUUUCCAGCUUCUGGGCUGUGGGGUUUGGACUUUAGACCCGUAUGUGGUUUUUUCUAGUUGGGCCGGAUGUUUGGGCUUCUUAUUGUAAUGUUUUCGGAUGAGCUUUGAUCCUUAAUAUUAAAUAUUCAGAGGAAAAAAAAAAA